GACGAACGCUGGCGGCGUGCUUAACACAUGCAAGUCGAGCGCUGAAGCUUGGUGCUUGCACUGGGUGGAUGAGUGGCGAACGGGUGAGUAAUACGUGAGUAACCUGCCCUUGACUCUGGGAUAAGCCUGGGAAACUGGGUCUAAUACUGGAUACGACAUGUCACCGCAUGGUGGUGUGUGGAAAGGGUUUUACUGGUUUUGGAUGGGCUCACGGCCUAUCAGCUUGUUGGUGGGGUAAUGGCUCACCAAGGCGACGACGGGUAGCCGGCCUGAGAGGGUGACCGGCCACACUGGGACUGAGACACGGCCCAGACUCCUACGGGAGGCAGCAGUGGGGAAUAUUGCACAAUGGGCGGAAGCCUGAUACAGCGACGCCGCGUGAGGGAUGACGGCCUUCGGGUUGUAAACCUCUUUCAGCACGGAAGAAGCGAAAGUGACGGUACGUGCAGAAGAAGCGCCGGCUAACUACGUG
rnacentral:rRNA from 1 species